rnacentral:sRNA from 1 species
GAGUAUUCCUAAAUGCAUUUUUGUCCUGCUUUAAUACUGUACAUGCAAGUUCACUGCAGUUUUGGGGAGAUGAGGAUCAAGAUUCCCCUUAAGAACAUCAAAUAAAAGUUGCAGUUGUGCUGUGGGAAUUUUUAACAUAGGUUUAAUCCAAUUCAAGUCCCCUACCUGUUUCUGGAAAUCAUUUGAGAUUUUCCAAUGUCUUUUCUAAACUAUAAGAAUGACUGUUGAAGGCAUUAUCAGUUUUUCUCGAUAGAAGAUUGGAAUAAUACAUUGAUUUCUAUGGGGGGGCUAUAAUGAAUUUAUAGUUGAUUAAUCCAAUUUUUACCUCAACAAAUAACUUCUAGGAUUUUAUUAUUUUUAGCCAAAACAGAAUGUCAUCCAUAUGAGUGUAACUUCCAAGCAGUAGCAACAAAUUUUUGACACCAAGUUGGGUUAUUUGUCAUUCCUAUUGUAAAACUUUCCAUUGGUUCAGAUAAGUUUAAAAAAGAAAGUACACUUAAAGCAAAUCUUUUACAAUCUUUAGGAUACAAAAGUAUAGUAUAGAAACAGUCCAUUAAAUCUAACAGUGUAAUAAGUCAUUCCAUAGGAAUAGUAACAGCUGUGGAAAGCCUGGUUGUAAAGGUCCAGUUAAUCCUGUGGUAACGUUCACUUGAUACAGAUCCUAUAGCAAACACCAUUUCCCUCCUUCAUCACCAAAACAGGAGAAUCGUGUCCAUGGUCAGAUUCUUUUAUCUGCUCUUUUUCCAGAUGUUCCAAGGGUAAUGGCUGGGAGACUGGUGUCUUUCAUUUUUUUAUGGGGAUCUUCAGAAAGCCAGGUUACAGGAUCAUCACGAUACUAUUCAGGAGCUCCUAGCAAAAAUACACCAAGUCUUGUCUGUUACAUUUUAGAAUAGGAUUUCAAAAUUGUUAUUUCUUGCAACUCCUUUCCCAGACUGUUUCCAGCAGUUGAUCCUUGUGAGAACAUCAUCUGUUCAGCAGGGGUAUUGGGCAUGCCUAGGCUUUAAACAACAUCUCAAAAAUGAACCGCCAGCACUCACAGCACGUAUGCCUGGAAGGAACCUGAUUUACUCUCAUGAGUUUUCCAAUUAAGAAUUUUGGAACUUUUUGAGGCCCAUGGGAAACUCCUACUCCUCUGAGCUCUGCUUGGGUGCCAUAAAUAGGCCAGUGGGAAGGCCAAGAUUGAUGAGAAAGAAGUGAGAUAUUGACACCAGUGUCUAGCAAUCCCUCAAAUUUCUUACCUACUAUCCAUAGAGACCUGGUGUUCCUCUUUAGCAGUUCCAUCUAGUACACAUCUGAGGACCCGAAGACAUUCUCUGCCACAUUCCUGAACAGACUUUAUCCAGUUAAACUUUGUUCAAUAACCGUUAACAAUACAUUGUCCUUUUCCUAAAGUUUGGAUGCCAAGAGGAACAGAAGCCAUAGCUUUAUUCUCACCAAAUAUAAUCCCAUUCUAUAGUUCCUGGAAAAAUCUGCAAGUCCUUUAUGGUGACACUCCUUAUGGCAAAAGGCCCAAAUAUUCCAGUAGGUGUGAUCUGGACCUCCAUUUCUUGUGUUAAUAUGUAUGUGGAGUUGAGACUGAGGUCAUGUCUCAAGCUGUAUAAGAUUUUUCCUGAAAAGUUUUGGUGCAUAGGAAUGGUGGGCACUAAAAAUGGCUGUUGGGUUGACAUUCUCCCCUGAAAAUAAGUCUGAGGCCUUCAUGAAGUUUCCAUGAAAAAAAUACAAAUAAAUCAAUAAAUAAGUGGCCAUUCUUCACCACAACUCAGGUAUCUAUACUCAUUUCCCCAAUAAUUUCCUUGUUUACAAUGAGAGUAUAAACCUGGAAAUUUAGCCAUCAGGACUUGAGCUUUGUAGACAUUGUCAGUUAAAAUGCCCAAAACGAUCAUAUUUAAAGAUUUGUUACCAUUAUCUUUAUUCAUUUUUCCUCUCAUUGGCUGCCAAUAGUUGAGGCACCUUUUGGCAUUGGAGGGAAGUGGCCAGAGAGAACACUUGUGAAUAUGGAGACCAAUAUCAGCAAAGAAGCAGAGGUAUCUGGUUUUCCCUGGUGUUGACUGGAUGAUUCUGAUGCCAGCAGGACUCCUCUGGACAUGAACUCAGGACCUUUUUCAAGGUGAUUAAUUCAGCUUUCUGUACAGAAGUCCCAGGUAAUAAGGUCAAGAUCCAUAUUAUGGAAUCAAGAACCACCACCACCACUACACCUGCAUUCCUGGUCCCACCUCUCAUGAAGGCAUUCCCAUCCAUAGGAUGAGUCACGUCUACAUUUGAUCUGAGGAUGUCCACUAAGUCUGGUCUCAGAUUCUGGACAUGUGUUCAGCACUAUUGAGUUCUAAUGCAUGACAUCCAGGUCUGGGUAUGGAAGCAGAGUAGCCAGUUCAGUGCAGAGGCAGGGUGGUAUCUAACGCAGGGUGUGUUGAGGAGCAAGUGGGUAUUAGGUAUCCAGCGAUCUAAAGGGUUUUUUAGAACUACCUCAAUGGCAUGAAGGGUGCUUAUAAUCAGUUCUGGUCCCAUGAUGAUUUUAUCAGCAUCCUUGACCAGCAAAGCAGUGGCUGCCAUAAUGCAUAGACAGGAUGGCCACCCCCAUUGUUAAAUCUUUUUCAGCUAUUGCUGGGAGCCUGGUCAUGUGCUUAACUUCAAAUCCUUCCAGCAAUUGGAGUUUUCAGCAGAUGUCUGGUGCCCCUUGAUUGAUGAAUCAUAACAGACUGGAUCUUGCCUCUGGAUCCAGAGGUAUAUAGG